rnacentral:rRNA from 1 species
AUGACUACUGCUUCUGUCUGUUUUGGCUGUAAAUUUCUGCUAGUAAGACUCUGGGGCGGCUGUGUAGUUUCACCCUGCUUAAGGAGUGCUGAUGCAAGGUGUUUGUUGUAUCUGAGAAUUCAGAAUAUGGGUUCUCGGUUUCCAUCCCACCAAUUAAGCAAUGGGCUUUAUGUCUCUGGGCGACCUGAGCAACCAAAGGAGAAGGCUCCGGUUGUUUGCUCUGCAGCUAUGCCAUACACUGGGGGUGACAUCAAGAAAUCAGGAGAACUAGGGAAAAUGUUUGAUCUCCAUGCUGAGAAGUCACGGAAAUCUGGCCCUUUGGGUAAUCAACCUUCAAGGAAUACUUCAUUUGGUGGUGCUGCUUCCAAUUCUGGACCAGUAUCUAGUGCUGCUUCUCGAUCCAACUACUCUGGCUCUAUUUCAGCAGCGGUUCCUGGCACUGGAGGUUCUGCAAGGGCAAAAUCUAAUUCUGGACCGCUCAAUAAGCAUGGAGAACCAACAAAGAGAUCCUCUGGCCCCCAGUCAGGAGGAGUGACCCCAAUGGCUCGCCAGAAUUCUGGCCAUCUACCGCCUAUUCUUCCGACAACUGGGCUCAUCACAUCAGGACCUAUCUCCUCUGGACAGUUGAACUCAUCUGGUGCUCUACGAAAAGUAUCAGGCACUCUUGAUUCUACUGUUUCGAUGAAGAUGCGUGCCACCUCUUCUGCUUACAACCCGGCUGUUACAAAUCUUAAUGAGCAAAAUAGCUACUCAAUUAAGGCCAGUUUGCCAAAGCCGAUACUAUGGGCGGCUAUUCUGCUCUUUGCGAUGGGGUUCAUAGCAGGUGGCUUCAUUCUAGCUGCUGUUCAUAAUUCGAUUUUGCUGGUAGUUGUUGUGGUGAUAUUUGGAUUUGUUGCUGCGCUCUUGGUUUGGAACAUUUGCUGGGGAACAAGAGGCAUGACUAGAUUUGUCAGUCGCUAUCCUGAUGCUGAUCUUAGAAUUGCGAAAGAUGGAGAGUAUGUGAAGGUCACAGGGGUUGUUACUUGUGGAAAUUUCCCCCUAGAGUCCUCAUUUCAAAGGGUUCCAAGAUGUGUAUACACUUCGUCCUGCUUGUAUGAGUAUAGGGGCUGGGACUCAAAAGCUGCCAACACUCAGCAUCGCCGAUUUACUUGGGGAUUACGUUCAAUUGAACGGCAUGCGGUCGAUUUCUACAUCUCUGAUUUCCAAUCUGGGCUGCGAGCAUUGGUCAAAAUAGGAUAUGGUGCACGGCUAAUCCCAUAUGUCGAUGAAGCUGUUGUUAUUGACAUAAAUCCAGAAAACAAGGACAUGUCCCCUGAAUUUUUGAGAUGGCUACGGGAAAGGAACCUCUCAAGUGAUGAUCGUAUAAUGCGCCUAAAAGAAGGAUACAUUAAGGAGGGAAACACUGUUAGUGUCAUCGGUGUUGUUCAAAGGAACGAUAAUGUGCUGAUGAUUGUUCCACCACCUGAACCCUUCAACACUGGUUGCCAGUGGGGCAAGUGCCUCCUCCCAACUAGCCUUGAUGGACUAGUCUUAAGAUGUGAAGACACGUCGAACGGUGAUGUAAUUCCAGUAUAG